rnacentral:rRNA from 1 species
GUAGGUGGCAAGCGUUGUCCGGAAUUAUUGGGCGUAAAGCGCGCGCAGGCGGUUCUUUAAGUCUGAUGUGAAAGCCCACGGCUCAACCGUGGAGGGUCAUUGGAAACUGGAGAACUUGAGUACAGAAGAGGAAAGCGGAAUUCCACGUGUAGCGGUGAAAUGCGUAGAGAUGUGGAGGAACACCAGUGGCGAAGGCGGCUUUCUGGUCUGUAACUGACGCUGAGGCGCGAAAGCGUGGGGAGCAAACAGGAUUAGAUACCCUGGUAGUCCACGCCGUAAACGAUGAGUGCUAAGUGUUAGGGGGGUUCCCGCCCCCCUUAGUGCUGCAGCUAACGCAUUAAGCACUCCGCCUGGGAGUACGGCCGCAAGGCUG